rnacentral:rRNA from 1 species
UAGAGUUUGAUCAUGGCUCAGAUUGAACGCUGGCGGCGUGCUUAACACAUGCAAGUCGAACGAGAAAGGGGCUUCGGCCCUGAGUAGAGUGGCGCACGGGUGAGUAACGCGUAAGUAACCUACCUCUAUAUCUGGGAUAACACUUCGAAAGGGGUGCUAAUACCGGGUACACUUGUUUUUCGCGAGAAAGACAAGGAAAGGUGACCUCUUCAUGAAAGUUGCCGUAUAGGGAGGGGCUUGCGUACCAUUAGCUAGUUGGUGGGGUAAUGGCCUACCAAGGCGACGAUGGUUAGCGGGUCUGAGAGGAUGAUCCGCCACACUGGAACUGGAACACGGACCAGACUCCUACGGGAGGCAGCAGUGAGGAAUAUUGCGCAAUGGGGGAAACCCUGACGCAGCGACGCCGCGUGAGUGAAGAAGGCCUUCGGGUUGUAAAGCUCUGUCACGCAGGGAAGAAAUGUCAUAUGGCUAAUAUUCCAUGUGAUUUGWCGG